AUGGAUGAAGUGGCGCAAGCUUCUGGCAUUCACUGUGACAAGAGAGUGCCACAAAAGCUAAAAGGCAAGUUCUACAGGACGGCGGUUCGACCCACAAUGUUGUAUGGCGCUGAGUGUUGGCUGACUAAAAGGCGACAUGUUCAACAGUUAGGUGUGGUGGAGAUGCGUAUGUUGAGAUGGAUGUGUGGCCACACGAGGAAGGAUCGAGUCCGGAAUGAUGAUAUACGAGGUAGAGUUGGGGUAGUAGCACCAAUUGAAGAGAAGCUUGUCCAACAUGGUCUGAGAUGGUUUGGGCAUAUUCAGCGCAGGCCUCCAGAAGCUCCAGUGCAUAGCGGACGGCUAAAGCGUGUGGAGAAUGUCAAGAGAAGUCGGGGCAGACCGAAUUUGACAUGGGAGGAGUCCAUUAAGAGAGACUUGAAGGACUGGAGUAUCACCAAAGAACUAGCUAUGGACAGGGGUGCGUGGAAGUUUGCUAUCCAUGUGCCAGAGCCAUGA
rnacentral:rRNA from 1 species